rnacentral:rRNA from 1 species
CCUACGGGGUGCAGCAGUGGGGAAUAUUGGACAAUGGGCGAAAGCCUGAUCCAGCCAUGCCGCGUGUGUGAAGAAGGCCUUCGGGUUGUAAAGCACUUUCAGUGGGGAAGAAAGCCUUGGGGCUAAUACCCUCGAGGAAGGACAUCACCCACAGAAGAAGCACCGGCUAACUCCGUGCCAGCAGCCACGGUAAUACGGAGGGUGCGAGCGUUAAUCGGAAUUACUGGGCGUAAAGCGCGCGUAGGCGGUCUGAUAAGCCGGUUGUGAAAGCCCCGGGCUCAACCUGGGAACGGCAUCCGGAACUGUCAGGCUAGAGUGCAGGAGAGGAAGGUAGAAUUCCCGGUGUAGCGGUGAAAUGCGUAGAGAUCGGGAGGAAUACCAGUGGCGAAGGCGGCCUUCUGGACUGACACUGACGCUGAGGUGCGAAAGCGUGGGUAGCAAACAGGAUUAGAUACCCGAGUAGUC